rnacentral:rRNA from 1 species
GAUGAACGCUGGCGGCGUGCCUAAUACAUGCAAGUCGAGCGAACGGACGAGAAGCUUGUUCCUCUGAUGUUAGCGGCGGACGGGUGAGUAACACGUGGAUAACCUACCUAUAAGACUGGGAUAACUUCGGGAAACCGGAGCUAAUACCGGAUAAUAUUUUGAACCGCAUGGUUCAAAAGUGAAAGACGGUCUUGCUGUCACUUAUAGAUGGAUCCGCGCUGCAUUAGCUAGUUGGUAAGGUAACGGCUUACCAAGGCAACGAUGCAUAGCCGACCUGAGAGGGUGAUCGGCCACACUGGAACUGAGACACGGUCCGGACUCCUACGGGAGGCAGCAGUAGGGAAUCUUCCGCAAUGGGCGAAAGCCUGACGGAGCAACGCCGCGUGAGUGAUGAAGGUCUUCGGAUCGUAAAACUCUGUAUUAGGGAAGAACAUAUGUGUAAGUAACUGUGCACAUCUUGACGGUACCUAAUCAGAAAGCCACGGCUAACUACGUG